rnacentral:rRNA from 1 species
AGAGUUUGAUCCUGGCUCAGGAUGAACGCUAGCGACAGGCUUAACACAUGCAGGUCGAGGGCAGCAUAAAAGUAGCAAUACGUUGGUGGCGACCGGCGCACGGGUGAGUAACGCGUAUGCAACCUACCUAUCAGGAGGGGGAUAACCCGGCGAAAGUCGGACUAAUACCGCAUAAAACAGGGGCACCGCAUGGUGAUAUUUGUUAAAGAAAUUCGCUGAUAGAUGGGCAUGCGUUCCAUUAGGUAGUUGGUGAGGUAACGGCUCACCAAGCCGACGAUGGAUAGGGGAACUGAGAGGUUGGUCCCCCACACUGGUACUGAGACACGGACCAGACUCCUACGGGAGGCAGCAGUGAGGAAUAUUGGUCAAUGGGCGAGAGCCUGAACCAGCCAAGUCGCGUGAAAGGAAGAAGGAUCUAUGGUUCGUAAACUUCUUUUGCAGGGGAAUAAAGUGCAGGACGUGUCCUGUUUUGUAUGUACCCUGAGAAUAAGGAUCGGCUAACUCCGUGCCAGCAGCAGC